rnacentral:rRNA from 1 species
UACGUAGGUGGCAAGCGUUGUCCGGAUUUAUUGGGUUUAAAGGGUGCGUAGGCGGCCCUAUAAGUCAGUGGUGAAAUACAGCCGCUUAACGGUUGAGGUGCCAUUGAUACUGUAGGGCUUGAGUACAGACGAGGUAGGCGGAAUUGACGGUGUAGCGGUGAAAUGCAUAGAUAUCGUCAAGAACACCGAUAGCGAAGGCAGCUUACUAGACUGUAACUGACGCUGAGGCACGAAAGUGUGGGGAUCAAACAGG